rnacentral:snRNA from 1 species
AGCUGAAUAGCAGUGGCAGUAUCGUAGCCAAUGAGGUUUAUCCGAGGCGCGAUUAUUGCUAAUUGAAAAUGAACUUGAAAGCCCAGAUUGAACUUAAAAAAGAAAAAACCAAAAAAAAAUAUAACCUCUUUU